rnacentral:rRNA from 1 species
GAAAGCAUCUAAGCACGAAACUUGCCCCGAGAUGAGUUCUCCCUGACUCCUUGAGAGUCCUGAAGGAACGUUGAAGACGACGACGUUGAUAGGUCGGGUGUGUAAGCGUAGCGAUACGUUGAGCUAACCGAUACUAAUGAACCGUGAGGCUUAACCUUACAACGCCGAAGCUGUU